GGUCGUAUGGUCUAGUGGUUAGGACUCCGGAUUUUGAUUGGGGUCGGUUACCCAACCGUCAACAUCUUCCGGCAGCCCCGGUUCGAACCCGGGUACGACCU